rnacentral:rRNA from 1 species
GAUGAACGCUGGCGGCGUGCUUAACACAUGCAAGUCGAACGGAAAGGCCGAAGCUUGCUUCGGUACUCGAGUGGCGAACGGGUGAGUAACACGUGGGUGAUCUGCCCUGUACUUCGGGAUAAGCUUGGGAAACUGGGUCUAAUACCGGAUAUGACGAUCUCUUGGAUGGGGUUGUGGAAAGCUUUUGCGGUAUGGGAUGAGCUCGCGGCCUAUCAGCUUGUUGGUGGGGUAAUGGCCUACCAAGGCGUCGACGGGUAGCCGGCCUGAGAGGGUGUACGGCCACAUUGGGACUGAGAUACGACCCAGAGUCCUACGGGAGGCAGUAGUGGGGAAGAUUGUACAAUGGGCGCAAGCCUGAGGCAGCGAAGCCGCGUGGGGGAUGACGGCCUUCGGGUUGUAAACUCCGUUCGCAAUCGACGAAGCCUUUUGGUGACGGUAGGUGGAGAAGAAGCACCGGCUAACUACGUG